CUAUUUUUUUUUUUUUUGUAACAUAAACUUUCUCCCUUCUCUUCCGUUCCGUUUCCCUUCCCUCUCCGAAGCAAAUUGUAACCCUUAACUCCAUCAGCAAGAAAAAUCGGGAGAGGCAGCGAGCGGCCGGAGAGGCAGUGACAGGCGGGCGCUCGCGAGGCAGCGAAGGGUUGUACGCUAAACAGUCGCUGACUCGCGAGAAUGGUGAGUUCGGGGAACGAAGCGAGUCGGCGGAAUCAGAGAAAAUGAGCGCCGGCAAUAGCUCUGUGAGCUUCCGCAUGUGGAACAUGAACCGACAAGCCUAAGCGGAGCAGAUCGCCACAGGAUGGCCUGCGUGGCUGAGCAAUGUGGCCGGAGAAGCCAUUCAUGGAUGGGUGCCCCUCAAAGCUGACUCUUUUUUGAAAUUAGAGAAGAUUGGACAAGGUACAUAUAACAGCGUUUUUAGAGCUGGUGAGGUUGAUACAGGAAUAAUUGUUGCCCUAAAGGAGGUGCGCUUCAACAAUUUUGAGCCUGAGAGUGUUAGGUUUAUGUCAAGGGAGAUAUAGAUCCUUCCCAAGCUUGAUCAUCCAAAUAUCAUCAAGCUGGAAGGCUUAAUUACUUCCUGAUUAUCAUGCAGUAUGUACCUUGUUUUUGAAUAUAUGGAGCAUUAUCUUGCAGGGUUAUCAUCUUGUCUAGACCUCAAACUCACUAAUCCACAGGUCAUGCACAUUCUUUGAAACUAUUUCAAAUAUAAAAUAAACAAAAAAUAUAUCACAGAAGAAACUUGACCAAGGACAUAUUUUGUAGAUCAAAUGUUAUAUGCACCAGUUACUCUCUGAGCUCGAACAUUGUCAUUCACACAGUAUCAUACAUCGUGAUAUCGAAUGUGCAAACCUCUUAGUUAACAAUGAAGGGAUUCUAAAGAUCUCUGAUUUCGGUUUAGCUAACACUUGGAAUCCUGGUACAAACCAAUCACUAACUACUUGAGUUAUGACACUAUAUAUCGUGCACCUGAGCUACUCCUAAGAUCAACAAACUAAGAGCCAUUUGUAGAUUUGUGGAGCGUUGGAUGUGUACUUGCAGAACUUUUUCUUGGCAAGCCUCUUUUACAAGGAAGAACUAAGUUUUCAAGCCUCAACGACUUUAUGUAAAUUGCAUCAAAGAAACGUUUGAGUGUUUACCAGAUGGUGCAUUAAGGUUGUUGGAAAUGUUUUUAUCUAUUGUGCUCAAUAACCGUGGCUCAGCUUCCUCUGCCCUUAGUUCUGAGGACUCGGUCGUAUGCAUGUGAACCAUCCAGCUUACCAAAAUAUCAGCCCAACAAAGAAAUUGACUUAAAGGAUGAUGCUGUUGUAGGUGAAGGUGUCUCAGAGAGCCUGGCUCCAUGUCAAGGACUACAAAUACUAAUCAUAUUUGUUAAUUUCAAAAUCGAAUUUUAUAUUAGGACAUGUGAGUUUGAGAUAUUCACUGACCUAGAGGGAUCUUUUCAUGUUACUCGUUGUGCUUCUGAAAUAAGUAGGCAUGCAUUGUGUCACUCUUUCUGCUACUCAUUUGUACUCCUUACAUGACUGGUUUUGCUUAGGUUAUAAAAGUUUUGUUUGGU